rnacentral:rRNA from 1 species
UACACUCCUACGGGAGGCAGCAGUGGGGAAUAUUGGACAAUGGGCGCAAGCCUGAUCCAGCCAUGCCGCGUGAGUGAUGAAGGCCCUAGGGUUGUAAAGCUCUUUCACCGGUGAAGAUAAUGACGGUAACCGGAGAAGAAGCCCCGGCUAACUUCGUGCCAGCAGCCGCGGUAAUACGAAGGGGGCUAGCGUUGUUCGGAUUUACUGGGCGUAAAGCGCACGUAGGCGGACUAUUAAGUCAGGGGUGAAAUCCCGGGGCUCAACCCCGGAACUGCCUUUGAUACUGGUAGUCUUGAGUUCGAGAGAGGUGAGUGGAAUUCCGAGUGUAGAGGUGAAAUUCGUAGAUAUUCGGAGGAACACCAGUGGCGAAGGCGGCUCACUGGCUCGAUACUGACGCUGAGGUGCGACAGCGUGGGGAGCAAACAGGAGUAGAUACCCGGGUAGUCCCA